rnacentral:rRNA from 1 species
AACAAGGAUUCCCCUAGUAACUGCGAGUGAAGCGGGAAAAGCUCAAAUUUAAAAUCUGGCGGUCUCUGGCCGUCCGAGUUGUAAUCUAGAGAAGUAAUGCCCGUGCUGGACCGUGUAUAAGUCUCCUGGGAUGGGGCGUCAUAGAGGGUGAGAAUCCCGUCUUUGACACGGACUACCCAGUGCAUUGUGGUAUGCUCUCAAAGAGUCGAGUUGUUUGGGAAUGCAGCUCAAAAUGGGUGGUAAAUUCCAUCUAAAGCUAAAUAUUGGCGAGAGACCGAUAGCGAACAAGUACCGUGAGGGAAAGAUGAAAAGAACUUUGGAAAGAGAGUUAAACAGUACGUGAAAUUGCUGAAAGGGAAACGCUUGAAGUCAGUCACGUUGGCCGGGGAUCAGCCUUGCUUUUGCAUGGUGUACUUUCUGGUUGACGGGUCAGCAUCAAUUUUGACCGCUGGAAAAAGACCUGGGGAAUGUGGCAGCUUCGGCUGUGUUAUAGCCCCUAGUCGCAUACAGUGGUUGGGAUUGAGGAACUCAGCAA